CUUCCAGUCCGGCUCGCGCCCCGGCUCCCCUACCCCCCCCCCCCCCUUUAUUCCUCGCGCCACUCGCUGAGGGUCUACCAUCUCUCCAGACCGGAUUAUUUAAAGGAGAAAAAGAAAGGAAAAGCAAGGUCAUCUCGGCGCCGUAUCAGCCAUUCAGGAGGCUGGAUGUCGGUUUUGAAAGAAAUGGCGCUAAGCUCCGCUUCUCGAUUUGGGAAACGAGCGCAACUAAAGGAAACCGCUGCCUGCCGCGGGCGCGACAGCUGGACACUGAGCGGCGCCGGCGCGGGCGGAGCGCGGACCCGGCGCCCCGGCAGAUGGAGCAAAUUGUUACAGUUAAUGGCGACAGUUGCUCUCGCUGAGAUCCACCACGUCAUCCUGGGCGCUGACUUCUGGAACUCCCAAAGAAUCUCCCCUCGUCUGACUAACAAACAGCGAGCACCUUCUCCUCUCCAAGAGCUGUUCUGGGACUUCUUGACUCAGGGCUGUCAGAACAUGUGGGGAAAUUCCAGGUGGCUUUGGCAUCCUCCUUUCCCCGUCACUAUCCGGUGGAGCUGGGCGCCAAGUUCCCAGGGCUUUCCGCGAGCAGCGCUUCAAAGGUGACUUACGUUGCAACACACAGCAUGUAAAGGCUUGGGCACCUGCUGAUGCCCGAGUCUACUGUCCAACUCGUCUUCCUUGUCCUAGUCUUACCGUCUCCUCAGUCUUCAGCUUUCCUGUAGCCCCCCCCCAGAGCCUAAAAGCUUAAAGCAGGGGUUUCCGGAACGCUCCUUCAAGAUCAGUGGGGCAAACGUAUCAUCCGCCUCUCCCUCAAAAGCCAAUCAUCCAAUCAUCGCCGCCGCCUCCCACUCUGCCGCCAGCGUCUUUCCCGUGGAGUUUGGCAGGCACCUGGGGUUGUUAGGGACUUAACUGGCCGGUUUUUGCCAGAAAACCCUGCAAAGUGAACGACAACACUCCGGAGCUUCUCGUCCAGCUCCUAAAUCUCUCUGGAAGUCCUUUUGCAUCACCUCUGCGUUUGGUUGCACGGUGAGUGUGAGGGCGGGAUCCAGGGAAAAAGAAAAAAAAAAAAAAAAAAAAAAAGCGAACUUACUCGCGGUCUGCUGCUUCUCCCCACCGUGACUCAAGUCUCCUGGAAGGCUUUCGGGCUUUCCGCCGCUCCACAUUUGUAGCCUCCCUUCAACUGGGCUGGGGGUGGGGAACCGGGGAGAAACGUUGUGGGCGGCUGGGGGUAGCCGCCCUCAGUCCCCCGCGGCUGCGCGCAGGUACCGGGCGACAGCGCCGUGGCCCCGCUCCUCAGCCAGGUCCACGGGCAGGCGGCCCCAGGCAUCGCGCACGUCCAGCCGCGCCCCGGCUCGGUGCAGCACCACCAGCGUGUCCAGGAAGCCCUCCCGGGCCGCGUCGUGCACAGGGCGGGUGAGGGUGGCGGGGUCGGCACAGUUGGGGUCGGCGCCGUGGAGCAGCAGCAGCUGGGCCACGCGGGUGCUGCCCAUCAUCAUGACCUGCCGGGAGAGCAGAGUGGUCAGGGCGGCAGUGGUCAGGGCAGCGGGAUGCAGGCCUGGGCAGGGACAGGUGGACCAUUUCAAAGAAAUACCUAUUCAGGAAGUAUCCACCUAACACAGAGGCGCUACAAGCCUCAGGAGUCCGUUAUACUUUGUUGAUGCAGUCCCAACACCCCUCACCCUCACCCUCACCCUCGCCCUCGCCCCGCCCCCGCCCCCGCCCCAGUUAUACUCCUUAUUCGGCUCUGAGUUCCAUCUUAUUCUCCAAACACGCGGAGACGAGAAAGCGCUGAUAGAAAGCGCUAAGAGUCGUUGUGCGAAAAAGAAAUUUUUGGUUUCCCUUGGAACAUGGGCAUCUAUUUUGUUAAAUGAUUUAUGGGGGGAGUUAAGUUUAAAAGCUUUUAAAAUCUUAAGAUUAUUUCUCUUGGUGGCUCUCCCACCUCAGCCAUAAUCUAGCUCUAAAAAUAUUUAUUAGGCAGUUGAUAUUUUUAAGAGAGGCGUUAGAGGAGAAAUAGUGCUUUGAGUUUUUUAUUUCUUUUAAUAAAUUCCCUGUUGGAGGCUUUUACUUUUCACUCUCAUAUAUAUCUGUGCUUAUAAAUUGAAUAUAGUCAGACAAUUUUGAGUCCAAAUUGGAUAUAGAGGGGGAAAAAGGAAAAAAGUCAUAUCUAGUCUUAUAAGAUAAUGAAGUUAUUUUUUUAACAAAUGGCUUAUCAUUUUUAAUAUUUUAAGUUAACAUUAUAACAUGUUUAAUAUUUUAAGGGAUAAAGUUUUUUUUUUAAGAUUAUUUAUUUAUUCAAGAGAAACAGAGAGAGGCAGAGACAAAGGCAGAGGGAGAAGCAGAGGCUCUCUGCGGGGGAGCCGGAUGCAGGAUGUGAUUCCAGGACCCGGAUCAGAGGCCCAACCACUGAGCCAUCCAGGUGCCCUGGCAAGGGAUAAAGUUUAAAGGAUAAUAUAUUUAAUGUAACAUAAACAUGUAACAUAAACAGUAUAUUUACAUUAUUCAGGAUUUUAUAAUGUCAUAGGAUUUUAUAAUGUUAGAUAGUAAAUAAUUUGCUAUGUAUAAAAGAACUUGGUUGUCAGUCAAAUCAGAGUAAUGUAUAACUUAGAAAAAAAUGUUCUGGAGCUGUACUUCUGUAGCAUCUACUUUUGUAUAUGCAUUUUAUACAAGUAUUUACUUUCUCAUUUUAAAAAUAAAACAGUUUUUGAUAACUAAA